CAUUUGACUUUUGAUACGCCUUUAUAUGGGGUGUGAUAGACAAGCAGGCAGCUCCCACGGAAAGGCUUCCUAAUGGCUGGGAGUGGGAGCACAGGCAGCUGCAAUAACAGUUGGACCAGGAUUUUGUCAACUUGCAGCCGCUGGUGUCUGUGUGAGUGUGUGUUUGUGUGGGUAGGUGAGUGUAAGUUCCUCUGGGAUAAAUUAUAGUAGCUCAAGGCAAGUGUGCUGUUUGAGAGGAGAUGCCUUCGAUAAGCCCAGCAAGCCCUUGAUGCAUUGUUCACAGUCUGGGGGGCUCAAGACAGGAAAGUGUUUACCUGAUAAUGUAUCCGAUAUCCUCCCUGUAAACUGUUGAUGUGUUAUUUGACUGCGGCAGCCAGGCAGCAUGGGUUUUAUACUUCAAUUACAGCAACAGAGUCACUGAUUGACUUGGCAUUUGAGACAUGUUAACUGCUUUAUAAAUAUAAUAAAGAAUAUUUUAGUUUAUAUGCAAUACAUUAGUAGCAUAAAAUCUGGAAGGGUAUAAAUGUAUAACAUUAUAUUCUACACAAUUCUAUUACAUUCUGUUAUUACAAUGCUUGAAUUGUAAGUCAAGUAUUUGAUCCAAUAAUCCCCUUUUCGAGAUUUUUUAAAAACAUUAAUGUACUAAGCUAAUGAAAUGCACAUGUGGUGACUGAGACAUACCAAGUGUCUUCUAGUCUUCACAAGGCUCCUCAAGGAUAUUUUUAGGAUCGCCUUCUUUUUCUUGCACCUGCCUUCGUCUGUAAUAUGGAUCCAUGACUCUGUGCCAAGAGUCCAAGGUCCAAUGCUAUUAGAUAUGUCCCCUAAAAUAAUCCAUGUCUUGCUCAGGCUUUGGUCCAUUUUACAGAUUAUUGUUGCUAUACGCCUGGCAGACUUUCAGUAGUAAAAUAUGACCAAUAUCAGGAUACAGUUUCUCAUCAUAUUGCUUUGCUAUACUUUAAGAUAUUGUCCUGGUAAUUUAGGCAUCAGCCGUGUCUUAGACUUUGAUUGACAGGCUCAGUAAUAGAAAAAUAUUUUGAUAAUCUUGGGGCCGGCCCAUGUUCUAAUAGACUGGCAUUUUGUAUAAUUGUGAUUGGCAUUGAACAAUACUAGUCACAGGCCUUAUUUCUGCCUGCUUUUCUCUAGAUUAGUCUGAGGUAAUACGUGUGGUUUCAGAAUGUCUGGAAAAAGUAUUAAAGUAUAAAGUAUCUUAUAUUUCUUAAUAUGCAUAUGAAUAAAAAUAAUAUAACACCAAUAACUGUACAAAGCUUGGAGGUUGCUGCUACACAGAAAUGGCUCUGAAUGUUCUGAGAUACUACAUUGCUUUACUGAAUUAAGUAAUGUGCUUUAAGUAAUGUUUAUAGUGUGCAUUACUGUUCAUCAUGUGCUUCAAACAUGUACAUUUUACAUAUCAAAUAUGCUGUUUAAACAUUUAGUUGUAGGCUAAAUGUUUUUUUUAAUACUAUGUGAAUACAGUAGGCUAUUUUAUGCUUUUGUCCUACUUAAAAUCUUUAGAAUGACUUGUCUUCAUUAUGUUCUUACUGUUGACAGUAAAGCACUGGUUUUUAUCUUGA